GAUAAACGCUUGCUCUUCAUGAAGUUAGUGGCGGACGGGUGAGUAACACGUGGGUAACCUGCCCUUCAGCGGGGGAUAACAUCCGGAAACGGGUGCUAAUACCGCAUAGUUUCUUUUUCCGCCUGGAAGAAGAAGGAAAGAUGGCCUUUGCGCUAUCACUGAGGGAUGGACCCGCGGCGUAUUAGUUAGUUGGUGGGGUAAUGGCCUACCAAGACGAUGAUACGUAGCCGACCUGAGAGGGUGAUCGGCCACAUUGGGACUGAGACACGGCCCAAACUCCUACGGGAGGCAGCAGUAGGGAAUCUUCCGCAAUGGACGAAAGUCUGACGGAGCAACGCCGCGUGAGUGAAGAAGGUUUUCGGAUCGUAAAACUCUGUUGUCGGAGAAGAACAAGUAGGAGAGUAACUGUUCCUACCUUGACGGUACCCGACCAGAAAGCCACGGCUAACUACGUG
rnacentral:rRNA from 1 species